rnacentral:rRNA from 1 species
UAGGGAAUUGUUCGCAAUGGGCGCAAGCCUGACGACGCAACGCCGCGUGGAGGAUGAAGAUCUUCGGAUCGUAAACUCCUUUCGACCGAGAUGAAUUCCCGCCGACCUAAUACGUCGGCGGGUUGACAGUAUCGAGGGAAGCAGCCCCGGCUAACUCCGUGCCAGCAGCCGCGGUAAUACGGGGGGGGCAAGCGUUGUUCGGAAUUACUGGGCGUAAAGGGUUCGUAGGUGGCUCGCUAAGUCAGACGUGAAAUCCCUCAGCUUAACUGGGGAACUGCGUCUGAGACUGGAGAGCUUGAGUGCAGGAGAGGAACGCGGAAUUCCAGGUGUAGCGGUGAAAUGCGUAGAUAUCUGGAGGAACACCGGUGGCGAAGGCGGCGUUCUGGACUGCAACUGACACUGAGGAACGAAAGCCAGGGGAGCAAACGG